rnacentral:tRNA from 15 species
GGGCGAUUAGCUCAGCGGUAGAGCGCAUCCUUCACACGGAUGAGGCCACUGGUUCGAGACCAGUAUCGCCCACCA